rnacentral:rRNA from 1 species
AUUGAACGCUGGCGGCAGGCUUAACACAUGCAAGUCGAGCGAGCGGCGGACGGGUGAGUAAUGUCUGGGAAACUGCCUGAUGGAGGGGGAUAACUACUGGAAACGGUAGCUAAUACCGCAUACCAUCAGAUGUGCCCAGAUGGGAUUAGCUAGUAGGUGGGGUAAUGGCUCACCUAGGCGACGAUCCCUAGCUGGUCUGAGAGGAUGACAAGCCACACGGGAACGGAGAAACGGUCAAGAGCCCUAGGGGGGGAAGAAGUGGGGAAUAUUGAACAAUGGGCGAAAGCCUGAUGCAGCCAGGCCGGGUGUGUGAAGAAGGCCUUCGGGUGGUAAAGAACUUUCAGCGAGGAGGCGUUACUCGCAGAAGAAGCACCGGCUAACUCCGUGCCAGCAGCCGCGGUAAUU